rnacentral:rRNA from 1 species
AUGUCACAUUCCGUAAAAAAUUACGAUACAUGUAUAGGAUGCACUCAAUGUGUACGAACUUGUCCAACAGAUGUAUUAGAAAUGAUACCCUGGGAUGGAUGUAAAGCCAAGCAAAUUGCUUCCGCGCCGAGAACCGAAGAUUGUGUGGGUUGUAAGAGAUGUGAAUCUGCCUACCCGACAGAUUUUGAAGUGUUCGCGUUUAUUUAG